rnacentral:rRNA from 1 species
AUUGAACGCUGGCGGCAUGCCUAACACAUGCAAGUCGAACGGCAACGCGGAGAGCUUGCUCUCUGGCGACGAGUGGCGGACGGGUGAGUAAUGCUUGGGAAUCUGCCCAGUAGUGGGGGACAACACGGGGAAACUCGUGCUAAUACCGCAUACGCCCUACGGGGGAAAGCGGGGGAUCUUCGGACCUCGCGCUAUUGGAUGAGCCCAAGUCGGAUUAGCUUGUUGGUGAGGUAAAAGCUCAUCAAGGCGACGAUCCGUAGCUGGUCUGAGAGGACGAUCAGCACACUGGGACUGAGACACGGCCCAGACUCCUACGGGAGGCAGCAGUGGGGAAUAUUGGACAAUGGGGGAAACCCUGAUCCAGCAAUGCCGCGUGUGUGAAGAAGGCCUGCGGGUUGUAAAGCACUUUCAGUAGGGAAGAAAAGCUAAGGGCUAAUAUCUUUUAGUCUUGACGUUACCUACAGAAGAAGCACCGGCUAACUCCGUGCCAGCAGCCGCGGUAAUACGGAGGGUGCGAGCGUUAAUCGGAAUUACUGGGCGUAAAGCGCGCGUAGGCGGUUGUGUAAGUCGGAUGUGAAAGCCCAGGGCUUAACCUUGGAAUUGCAUUCGAAACUGCAUGGCUAGAG